UGGGGAAUAUUGCACAAUGGGCGCAAGCCUGAUGCAGCCAUGCCGCGUGUGUGAAGAAGGCCUUCGGGUUGUAAAGCACUUUCAGCGGGGAGGAAGGCGAUAAGGUUAAUAACCUUGUCGAUUGACGUUACCCGCAGAAGAAGCACCGGCUAACUCCGUGCCAGCAGCCGCGGUAAUACGGAGGGUGCAAGCGUUAAUCGGAAUUACUGGGCGUAAAGCGCACGCAGGCGGUCUGUCAAGUCGGAUGUGAAAUCCCCGGGCUCAACCUGGGAACUGCAUUCGAAACUGGCAGGCUAGAGUCUUGUAGAGGGGGGUAGAAUUCCAGGUGUAGCGGUGAAAUGCGUAGAGAUCUGGAGGAAUACCGGUGGCGAAGGCGGCCCCCUAGACAAAGACUGACGCUCAGGUGCGAAAGAGUGGGGAGCAAACAGG
rnacentral:rRNA from 1 species